rnacentral:sRNA from 1 species
UCCUUCGGCUGGUCGUAAGACCAUCGAGGC